rnacentral:pre_miRNA from 1 species
AAGUUCUCUGAUACACUUGGACUUUCUAUUUAUUACAGUCAGUGCAUCACAGAACUUUG